GGGGACUUCACACCUUCCAAAUGCAACACAGGAAAAUCACCAAAAGAAACUAUCAUAGGGGUAAAGCCAAGAGAAAGCUACCACAUGGGUAUAGUAAGAGCCCACACAGGGGCAAGACAUAUUAUUGUCCAAGGAAAAUAGGGACAUAAUAAUCGGAAGGGGCGUCGAAUGGUCACUUCGCCCCCACUGCACUGAAACUACAACCCCUUUCAACAAAAAUGGUUUUUUUCUCACAUCAACACAGCUCAUAGAAAUUUGGAUGCAUACUCUUAGUGCAAUUUCAUAUUUAAGAAUCAAGCUAAAUUCAUGGACCCGGA
rnacentral:lncRNA from 1 species